ACCUGCAGAAAAAGAACAGACAUCAUUGGUUUGCUCUGUAACAUUUUUUGCUAAAUGGAAUCAAAUAUCUACUGAAGGGUGAACAAUGAAAAUGCUAGGUGAAAUAUGAGGAGUCUCUUGUGGUGGACAAUCUAUGUCCAUUCAGUGUUCAAUCUCCAUAUUGAGGUCAUAACUCAGAGGAAUUAAAUUACAUUCCGCUUAUCAUCUUUUAUCCAAACAUAGUCAUAGUUGCUCCUAAAGGGAAUGACUGUCUAUCAACUGAAAGACUAUAUGUCACUGGACAAGAUUAGCAUGUUGCAGUUGAUGGCUAGUAUUUCAGGGAUUCAAAGCUGGAAAUUUUUUGCGUCCUGGUAAUGUUUAGUUUAGUAUAUGGAUCUAGGAGGAUGAAAACUUUUGCAGAAUACAACAACAACUAAGCCUCAGUCCCAAACAAGUUGGGGUCGCAGAACUGGUGUCACAGGGUAUAUACAGCACAAGAGAUCACGUGGGAACAUCACCUACCUGCUCCAAGAAUGACAACUUGUGCUCCUCCGCCAUCAAAAGAAGUACGUCUCCCCUGCAAGUAACUCUGCUAGUGGAUCAUGGAUCACAUGUUUCCAUAGCGCCCUUCCUGCUGCAGUUUGACAUGCUGAUUGUCUCAAGGAAUCCCAAUCAUGUUCGACAGCUGAAUGAACUUCUCUGAUGGUUUCAGUGUACAAAGAAUCAG